rnacentral:tRNA from 1 species
GCCUGGGUGGCUCAGUCGGUUGAGUGCCCGACUUCAGCUCAGAUCAUGAUCUCACAGUUUGUGGGUUCAAGCCCCAUGUCAGGCU